UUGGACCUGAUAUCAGGCAAGGUUACCCGCUGAACUUAA
rnacentral:rRNA from 1 species